rnacentral:rRNA from 1 species
AGAGUUUGAUCAUGGCUCAGGAUGAACGCUAGCGGCAGGCCUAAUACAUGCAAGUCGAGGGGCAGCAGUACUUUUCGGAGUAGCUGGCGACCGGCGCACGGGUGCGUAACGCGUAUGCAAUCUACCCACAGCACAGGGAUAGCCCGUGGAAACAUGGAUUAAUACCUGAUAACACAUUGUUUUCACCUGGGGACGAUGUUAAAGUUAUAACGGCAGUGGAUGAGCAUGCGUCCCAUUAGCUAGUUGGUGAGAUAACGGCUCACCAAGGCGAUGAUGGGUAGGGGUUCUGAGAGGAUGAUCCCCCACACUGGUACUGAGAUACGGACCAGACUCCUACGGGAGGCAGCAGUAGGGAAUAUUGGUCAAUGGACGCAAGUCUGAACCAGCCAUGCCGCGUGCAGGAAGACGGCCUUCUGGGUUGUAAACUGCUUUUCUCAGGGAAGAAAAACGCUCUUGCGAGAGCACUUGCCGGUACCUGAGGAAUAAGCACCGGCUAACUCCGUGCCAGCAGCCGCGGUAAUACGGAGGGUGCAAGCGUUGUCCGGAUUUAUUGGGUUUAAAGGGUGCGUAGGCGGCCCGUUAAGUCAGUGGUGAAAGGUAUCAGCUUAACUGAUGAAGUGCCAUUGAAACUGAAGGGCUUGAGUACAGACGAGGUAGGCGGAAUUUAUGGUGUAGCGGUGAAAUGCAUAGAUACCAUAAAGAACACCGAUAGCGAAGGCAGCUUACUAGACUGAGACUGACGCUUGAGGCAC